UGGUGGAUUGAUUUGUCUGGUUAAUUCCGAAAACGAACGAGAUCUUAACCAUUAAAUAGUGACGUUAAUAUGGUCGAAAGGUCAAAUAUUUGACAUUGAAACUUCUUAGAGGGACUAUUUGCAUUUUAGUGAAUGGAAGUUUGAGGCAAAAACA
rnacentral:rRNA from 1 species